AAUUGAAAUUAUAUUUAUUAUAUUUUAUCUGGGACUAUUAUACUAAGUUAGUAUAAUAGUCCCAGAUUUUAUAAAUAUAUAUAUUAAAUAGUUGUAAGGGUUUAAUUAACUAACAGCUCCAUGUGGAGGUGCUCCUAUGUAAAGGAUGCUUAUUAACAAAAUAAUUUGUUAUAUGUUCCAAGGAUUUGUAUAGUAGGAAUGGGGGAACUAGCAGGUACCUAUUUUUCACUUUUCACAUGGAGAAAUACUUUGAACAUCAGAUCAGGACAAUAUCCGUGAAUCUCUCGUCCGGAGUCGGGUUUUUUUAAAACGCUUGAAAGAUACAGAUUAUGACGCGUCUUAAAGAGAAGAACGCCGUCAGCCGAUUAUCAACAACAGUACUUGUUUCAGUUAAUUUAACAAGACAAACAAUACCAAGGAGCUAUGAAUCAAUGAAUACUCGAGGAUGUACUACAGCAGUAUUACAAGGUAUGGGCAGAGGAGUUGACUAUUGAUAAUGACUGAUACUGGAAUUAAUGAAGUAACCUACAUGUAGUGUCCAAUCUCUAUGUGGAGUUUGCCUAUCAGACAGUCCAUUUUUACAUGUACCAAAAAAUAAUUAGCUCUCCAGAUGUAAGUGGAAGUGAAGUUAUACAUGUUAUAUGUUUCGAUGAAAUGAAUGACUUGAUUAGAUAUACAUGUAGUGGAGACCCUAUAGAUACAGUACAUGUAACUGGAACUGUAGGAAGUAUUCAAAGAGUCUGAUUGCUAAGUAUGCAUUACAGGAUUUUAUCAUUGGAGCAACAUCUUAGGAGGAGAAGUGCAAAUGUAUGAAGGAAUCCUUGGGUACAAAUAGCAAUUAUAUGCAGAAGAGGACUCUUAAACAUUAUUAACAGACAUGUAGUCAUAGUAGUGGUGUUUUCAAGAAACGUAAACCAACUGGAAUUAACAAUUGUGUAUAUUUUUUCAACCACAAGUACUUUCAGAAUAUAAUACAAUUCAAAUUCAAAUUAUUGUGUCAACAUACAAGUUACAGUAAAAAAAUGAAAAUG